GUAGGUGGCAAGCGUUGUCCGGAAUUAUUGGGCGUAAAGCGCGCGCAGGCGGUUCUUUAAGUCUGAUGUGAAAGCCCACGGCUCAACCGUGGAGGGUCAUUGGAAACUGGAGAACUUGAGUACGGAAGAGGAAAGCGGAAUUCCACGUGUAGCGGUGAAAUGCGUAGAGAUGUGGAGGAACACCAGUGGCGAAGGCGGCUUUCUGGUCUGUAACUGACGCUGAGGCGCGAAAGCGUGGGGAGCAAACAGGAUUAGAUACCCUGGUAGUCCACGCCGUAAACGAUGAGUGCUAAGUGUUAGGGGGUUUCCGCCCCCCUUAGUGCUGCAGCUAACGCAUUAAGCACUCCGCCUGGGAGUACGGCCGCAAGGCUG
rnacentral:rRNA from 1 species